rnacentral:miRNA from 1 species
UUUUGUAUGAGACGCAUUUCGA